AUGGCCCCCAUGGCGCCGAGGAAACGCGCCAGAUACUGCUGCGGCCUCUGCGGCCUCCCAAAGAAGGGCCAUGUCUGCCACUUCGCCGGCGGUUCGUCUUCGGCGCGGCUGGUGCAGGGCCGAGAAGAAGCGCCGCCGCCCAGGGACCCUCCUGCUGCUGGCGCCAAGAAGGAGGAGGUCACCAUCAUCACCGCCCUCCCCAACGACGUCCUAGGCACCAUCAUCUCCGCGCUCCCCAUCGACGAGGCCGCCCGCACAAAUGCCAUCUCCAAAGGCUGGAAACACGUCUGGCGCGACUACACCCCGCUCAACCUCGACGACGGCGACCUCCACAAAAUGGCCUGGACCGGAGACAACCUAGUCGACCUUAUCUCAGACAUCCUCGAGGCUCCACGCGAGGUACGCGCCCGUCGUCUUUCUCUCAGCACGCUAUGCCAGCACUCCGGCGAUCGAGACCGCUACCCCAUCUUCGACCGCUGGUUCCGAUCCAAGGUUCUGGAUCACCUCGAGGAUUUUCAUUUCAGCUACCAGCGGGUGAACAACACCGAACCACUACAGGAUGGCGAGUUGAUGCCGCCGCUGCCGCCAUCCGCGCUGAGCUUUUCCUCCCUCCGCGUCGCCAGCUUUGGUUGCUGCCAUUUCCCUGAGAAUAUCUUAGCCUUGGGCGGCAUCACUUUUCCAUAUCUCAUCGAGCUCACACUCUGCCGGAUAACAAACUCCGAAAACACACUGCACGCCAUGAUAGCCGCAUCUCCAAAUCUUGUCUACUUGUACCUUCACAGAAACUAUCACUUCCGUCGCGUCCACAUCAGCUCGCAAACUAUUGUAAGGUUCCGCAUGUUUGUUGACCCAGACAGUGAUGUGAUGGAAGAACUCCUCAUCGUCAACACUCCAAGCCUAGAGGAAGUGAUGCUCUGGGACCAAGGUGAUUGUGGUCCACGAAUCAUACGUGUCCUGGUUGCCCCAAAACUUCACAUCUUGGGUUGUCUGCACAGCGACAUGAUGUCCACCGUACAGCUUGGGAAGACAGUACUCCAGGUAUAUAUGUAUCUAGGAGCCACACAGGGCAUCUGUAUAUAUCAUUCUUUUGCAAUCUUACUUAUAUACAUAUUCUUUCGUGCUUUGACGAUCCAGGCAAUGGUUGACAGCAGUCUAGUGUCAUCACUGCAUAAUGUAAAGGUCUUGAAGCUUGUUGUCCAUGGUCUUAGGUUAAAUCAUGUCAUUGACGUCCUCCAAUGCUUUCCCUGCUUACAACAGCUUCACAUAAAUACAUUGAUGGAGCCAUGUUCCAAACAAGCAGAACGACAAUCCAGCUGCUACUACUGUUGA
rnacentral:rRNA from 1 species